UAAUACAGAGGGUGCGAGCGUUGUCCGGAAUCACUGGGCGUAAAGGGCGCGUAGGUGGCUCGUUAAGCGUGUGGUGAAAGCCUGGGGCUCAACCCCAGGUCUGCCGUGCGAACUGGCGAGCUUGAGCAGAGUAGAGGCGAGUGGAAUUUCGGGUGUAGCGGUGGAAUGCGUAGAUAUCCGAAAGAACACCGGUGGCGAAGGCGGCUCGCUGGGCUCUUGCUGACACUGAUGCGCGACAGCGUGGGGAGCAAACAGGAUUAGAUACCCUGGUAGUCCACGCCGUAAACGAUGGGUACUAGGCGUCUGGGGGAGCGACCCCCUGGGUGCCGGCGCUAACGCAUGAAGUACCCCGCCUGGGGAGUACGGCCGCAAGGCUG
rnacentral:rRNA from 1 species